CAAUAGCGUAUAUUUAAGUUGUUGCAGUUAAAAAGCUCGUAGUUGGAUUUCGGGUGGGACGCAGCGGUCUCGCAUUGCGUUUGUACUGCUGCAGCCCUCCUUCUUGCCGAGGGCGGCCUCUCGGACUUCACUGUCUGGGGGUCAGAAUCGGCGAUGUUACUUUGAGUAAAUUAGAGUGUUCAAAGCAAGCUUACGCUCUGAAUAUAAUAGCAUGGGAUAACACGACAGGACUCUGGCCUAUCGUGUUGGUCUAUAGGACCAGAGUAAUGAUUAAGAGGGACAGUCGGGGGCAUUCGUAUUCCGUUGUCAGAGGUGAAAUUCUUGGAUUUACGGAAGACGAACAUCUGCGAAAGCAUUUGCCAAGGAUGUUUUCAUUGA
rnacentral:rRNA from 1 species